rnacentral:RNase_P_RNA from 1 species
CUAGAUGGUUGGGUGGCUGCGUGAAUGCGUGCGUUUGCGAGGAAAGUCCGAGCUCCAUGAAACGCAAUGGCGGGUAAUCCCCGCCGAGAGUGAUCUCAGGGAAAGUGCCACAGAAAAUAAACUACCUUCUAUGCAUUGCAUAGAAGGAAAAGGUGAAAAGGUGCGGUAAGAGCGCACCGCGCUUCUGGUAACAGAAGUGGCAGGGUAAACCCCAUUGGGAGCAAGACCAAAUAGGCAUAAUCAUAACCGUAAGGUUAUCGAUGCGUUUCACAUCGUGUGUUAUGCGGGUAGGUUGCUAGAGCAUGUCAGUAAUGCCAUGCCAAGAGGAAUAGUCGCCUCCGUACUUUCGGGUAUGUAGACAGAACUCGGCUUAUAGACCGUCUAGCUUA